CGGGUGAGUAAUGCAUCGGAACAUGUCCAUUUGUGGGGGAUAGCCCGGCGAAAGCCGGAUUAAUACCGCAUACGCCCUGAGGGGGAAAGCGGGGGACUUCGCAAGAGGCCUCGCGCGAAUGGGUUGGCCGAUGUCCGAUUAGCUAGUUGGCGGGGUAAUGGCCCACCAAGGCGACGAUCGGUAGCUGGUCUGAGAGGACGACCAGCCACACUGGAACUGAGACACGGUCCAG
rnacentral:rRNA from 1 species